rnacentral:rRNA from 1 species
UACGGGGGGGGCAAGCGUUGUUCGGAAUUACUGGGCGUAAAGGGCUCGUAGGUGGCCAACUAAGUCAGACGUGAAAUCCCUCGGCUUAACCGGGGAACUGCGUCUGAUACUGGAUGGCUUGAGUUCGGGAGAGGGAUGCGGAAUUCCAGGUGUAGCGGUGAAAUGCGUAGAUAUCUGGAGGAACACCGGUGGCGAAGGCGGGUCUCUGGGCAGUAACUGACGCUGAGGAGCGAAAGCGUGGGGAGCGAACAGG